ACUCAAAUGAAUAGACGGGGACCCGCACAAGCGGUGGAGCGUGUUCUUUAAUUGGAUGCUAAGCCGAAAACCUUACCAAGGCUUGACAUCUCGGAAAGUCCGCCGAAAGGCGGAUGUGCCUUUUGGAAUCCGAUGACAGGUGAUGCAUGGCCGUCGUCAGCUCGUGUCGUGAGAUGUUGGGUUAAGUCCCGCAACGAGCGCAACCCUUAUCGUUAGUUGAAUUCUCUAACGAGACUGCCCUGGUAACAGGGAGGAAGGAGGGGAUGAUGUCAGGUCAGUAUCUCCCUUACGCCUUGGGCUAGAAACGCGCUACAAUGGCCGGUACAAUGGGCAGCCAAGUCGCGAGACGGAGCUAACCCCACCAAAGCCGGUCUCAGUUCGGAUUGUAGGCUGAAACCCGCCUGCAUGAAGCUGGAAUCGCUAGUAACCGUAGGUCAGCACACUACGGUGAAUACGUUCCCGGGUCUUGUACACACCGCCCGU
rnacentral:rRNA from 1 species